rnacentral:tRNA from 1 species
AUUAAUUAAUUAAUUAAUAAAAAACUUAUAAAUUUAAAAUUUAUAUAUACUCUUAAAGUUAUUAAUA